rnacentral:rRNA from 1 species
UGGAGGUAGUGACAAUAAAUCACAAUGCGGAACAAUGUUUUGCAAUUGGAUUGAGAACAACGUACAAACCUUAUCGAUAAACAAUUGGAGGGCAAGUCUGGUGCCAGCAGCCGCGGUAAUUCCAGCUCCAAUAGCGUAUAUUAACGUUGUUGCAGUUAAAAAGCUCGUAGUUGAAAUGAAGGGUAGUUGUGUAAUGAAUACAUUCGUGUAUUUUGUUAUUCAAGUACCCUCCUUCUAAAUUCGAUAUAUGAGUAUUAAUUUACUUGUAUAUGGUUUUAGACUUUUACUGUGAGAAAAUUAGAGUGUUCAAAGCAGGCAUUUGCUUGAAUAUAUUAGCAUGGAAUAAUCAUGUAUGAUUUUCAUGAUGUAUUUGAUUGGUUUGGUUGAUGAGAAUAAGAUUAAAAGGGACAGUUGGGGGUAUUCAUAUUCAAUAGUCAGAGGUGAAAUUCUCGGAUUUAUGGAAGAUGAACAAGUGCGAAAGCAA